CUCAAGGUCAAACAGUUAAAAGCAGAUUUAUUUCGAACAGGAAAGGACUGAAUGCAAGUUAAGGAAAGGACAGCUGGCUCAAUAAAGGAGCUGAGGAACAUCUGAAACACUGGCCAACUGUCCUUCAAUCAGUUAUUCACUUUGCCGUCAUGACUUCAUCGACAAUUCCAUGAAACCCAGAGCUACUACCAGGACAGUUCUAGGACAGCCAUCAUCCUCAGCUUCCUCUUCCCUGUUACUGCCUGUCUUGUCAUCACUGUCAGCAUCCAUCUGUCAAGCACUGAACAGUGUGAGCUGGAGAUUUCCUUGGAGCUGGAGCACUACUUGGCAGCCACUGGGCAAGUUGGUGGAGGAAGAGGAGGUACAAGGAUGAAGGAGAUGAAGACUCAGCCCACUGUCCAACCUACCCACCAGCUUGCAUCCUAACAGGGGAAGAGACCUGCCCACAGACAGUGAGAAAUGGGGGAUGAAAGUACCUUUCCAGGUUUUUGUUUCAAGAACCUUCAGCUGUCUAAACACUCAGCUCAGCCAAGCUUCGCUCUGCAUACAGACUGCAGCUGGACUUCAGAGGCUCAAGCAUCCUGCUUUCAUCUUCCCAUUGGCAGAGCUCCUUGUUUCCAACCCUGACUGGAAGGAGAUGAGGAACCCCACAGCAGAGGGCAGGUGUGAGUGAAUCCUUAUUCUCCUUUUGCUUGCAAGGAAACUGAAGCGUGGAGAGGUUGGGUCAUGCGCUUUACAUCACAGCCUGGGAAGGUGGACAGCGGAGCCUGGCAAAGGGCUAGCAACUCAGCCACAGUGGAGCACAGUGAACUCAGAGGCCAGGACUUAGAUAG